UGACCUCGGAUCAGGUAGGGAUACCCGCUGAACUUAAGCAUACAUAAACCCGGGAAGA
rnacentral:rRNA from 1 species